AUCGCUUCUGGGCCUUUUUGCUAAGAUCACGUAUAGUAUCUGUCUUUAUUAGUAUAACAUCUGACUCUUCCUCUGAGAACACUAUAGUAGGUAGAUUUUUGAGCUGGGAUAUGGAACUGGCACCUGAU
rnacentral:snRNA from 1 species